GAUGAACGCUGGCGGCGUGCCUAAUACAUACAAGUCGAGCGAACGGACGAGAAGCUUGCUUCUCUGAUGUUAGCGGCGGACGGGUGAGUAACACGUGGAUAACCUACCUAUAAGACUGGGAUAACUUCGGGAAACCGGAGCUAAUACCGGAUGAUAUUUUGAACCGCAUGGUUCAAAAGUGAAAGACGGUCUUGCUGUCACUUAUAGAUGGAUCCGCGCUGCAUUAGCUAGUUGGUAAGGUAACGGCUUACCAAGGCAACGAUGCAUAGCCGACCUGAGAGGGUGAUCGGCCACACUGGAACUGAGACACGGUCCAGACUCCUACGGGAGGCAGCAGUAGGGAAUCUUCCGCAAUGGGCGAAAGCCUGACGGAGCAACGCCGCGUGAGUGAUGAAGGUCUUCGGAUCGUAAAACUCUGUUAUUAGGGAAGAACAUAUGUGUAAGUAACUGUGCACAUCUUGACGGUACCUAAUCAGAAAGCCACGGCUAACUACGUG
rnacentral:rRNA from 1 species